AGCGAACGCUGGCGGCAGGCUUAACACAUGCAAGUCGAGCGGGCAUCCUUGUGGUGUCAGCGGCAGACGGGUGAGUAACGCGUGGGAACGUGCCCUUCGGUUCGGAAUAACUCAGGGAAACUUGAGCUAAUACCGGAUACGUGCGAGAGCAGAAAGGUUUAUCUGCCGAAGGAUCGGCCCGCGUCUGAUUAGCUAGUUGGUGAGGUUAUGGCUCACCAAGGCGACGAUCAGUAGCUGGUCUGAGAGGAUGAUCAGCCACACUGGGACUGAGACACGGCCCAGACUCCUACGGGAGGCAGCAGUGGGGAAUAUUGGACAAUGGGGGCAACCCUGAUCCAGCCAUGCCGCGUGAGUGAUGACGGCCCUAGGGUUGUAAAGCUCUUUUCUUCGGGACGAUAAUGACGGUACCGGAGGAAUAAGCCCCGGCUAACUUCGUG
rnacentral:rRNA from 1 species